rnacentral:rRNA from 1 species
CACGAACGCUGGCGGCGUGCUUAACACAUGCAAGUCGAACGCGAACGGGUUCUUCGGGACCUUAGUAGAGUGGCGCACGGGUGAGUAACGCGUAAGUUAUCUACCUCGGCAUCUGGAAUAACUCACCGAAAGGUGUGCUAAUACCGGAUACGUUGAGUAAUCAAGAAAGGUGGCCUCUGAAUAUGCUACCGUGCUGAGAUGAGCUUGCGUACCAUUAGCUAGUUGGUGGGGUAAUGGCCUACCAAGGCGACGAUGGUUAGCGGGUCUGAGAGGAUGAUCCGCCACACUGGAACUGGAACACGGACCAGACUCCUACGGGAGGCAGCAGUGAGGAAUAUUGCGCAAUGGGGGCAACCCUGACGCAGCGACGCCGCGUGGAUGAUGAAGGCCUUCGGGUCGUAAAAUCCUGUCAGGUGGAAAGAAAUGUAUAUGUGCUAAUACCAUGUAUACUUGACGGUACCACCGAAGGAAGCACCGGCUAACUCCGUGCCAGCCGCCGCAGUAACAC